UCCACAGCAGUAGUGUGUACUCUCCAUACCUAAGUUUGGACUUCCUCCAGAAAUUCAAAGUGAUGCACAUGAAGAUUUUUAGGCAGAGGGGCCUUUCUGACAUUCACAGAAGAGUAGAAGAAAUGUUUCACCAUCAAUGUCAUGUUCUUCGCUUGCUUAACAUGGCUGCUGACAUGCUCCUUACAGCAGCGUGCUUCUUCUAACAGUUCUUAAUUACUCUAGGGGAGAGAGGGAUACAGUUGGUGUUGUUCAUGAACAGCCACUUGCAUCAGAGAGCCUGUGGUGAUAUACUGCCUUGAGUGACAGAGAGAAACUACACAGGGGUAUGAAUUUCCAAAUUUUUAAACUACCUGGCUAAUAAAACUCUCUGUAGAAUUGAUCAAUUUUUUAACAUAUUCUUGGUAUUUCCUUGCAGUUCAUUGACGUUUUGGGGAGCAAUGUUGAACCUUUGGACCAAAAAAAAGGAAUGACACUGUGUCUGAGUAAACUGUUUAGACCACUCUUGCCAAACAAUGGACGUCAGAAGCAAUAACUUCAAAGCAGUGCACUAAGAUGCCAACGGUUUGCUUGAUUUCAAUGGAAAAGGGAAGAGCGAGCACCAUCCAUUGACCAGAAAUCAAAUGUACCUGCUGAAAGAGAAAAGAAGCUGCAACUCUUGCUGGCUGAAAUAAAUUGACCUUAUUUCCUGGGAAGCCUGUGAGGAGAAAAAAGGAAUGUUAACCCCCUUAUCUCUCAUCCCAAUUUCCUAAGCUGUAUUAUCUGAUUUUCACAGUCUCAGGAUGACUCAGUCAUCUGAAGCUUGGUGUUCAGUGCCUCUUGAGAGCCAUGGGCAGUACAGAAUAAGUGUGUUAAAGGAGAAAUGCAAGAGGAAAUGGUUGUGAUUUCUCGAGAGCGAGAGCUGGAGCUGUUGUUCAAAGCUUUCCAAGAUUGUGCAGGGUCCUCUCCCGCUUCCUUUUUCUAUGAAAGAAACUGAUGAGCUCUGCUGCAUCCUGAGCAUGAAGAAGCAGUGUUCCCUGGAUGACUCAGUGGCUGCUAGCAGUAGCAAUAUCACUGUAAUUAAUCAAGCAGGCGGUCCCCAGUAGAUUAGCUACAGUCAUUCUCUUUGUUGUACAGGCAGGGAAUUCAAGGUGCAGGGAAGCUGCUUUGUCCAAAGACAUAGGAAUGAAUGUCAAAGCCCCCAUGAAAAUACUUGAGGCCAAAUGCUAUUUUCAAAUGUACACAUUAUAAGUUAUUUACAUCUGUAGUUAUUUAACUGAUGUUUCACACUCAUCUUUACUGAUUUUUCAAGCCAUGUGACAAUUUUAAUUUUGAUGUCUAAUGUUAAAAUUAAAGGUAAGAAAACACGAGGCCUGUAGGUUAAUCAUAAAGUGCAAUGAACCUGAACUGAAGGGUAACUUGCUGCCUGUUUUCUACAAAUGGUUUUUCAAUGACUAGAGUUUCUUAAAGAAGUAACCAUACUCUGAUGUUUCAUCUGCUGGAUGAAUAAGAAGAUUUUGCCCUGGUCACACAGACUAAGAGAGACCCCAGCUUGCUCUAAUCAGAGGAAAAUCAGAGCACAGUGCCACUACAUAUCAGAUUUUUCUCAGCAUCAAAAAAGCCGGACUCAUUACAACUGUCUUGUUACAAAACCACUCUUUUUAAUAUUCACUCUAUUACAAUUGAGUGACAGGUGUUUGGAGUUUAAACACAUAUUCAUUUGGACUGUAAUAAGUCUUUUGUUACAGAACUAAAUUGUUAUGUUCCAUUCUUCCAACAGCAGAAUUUGCUACAAGCCACACUUCCUGCCUACAGCUUUAAAAAGAUACCGAGCUUUGUGAAUUUUCUCUGUUAGCAUGGACUCUAUCUCAAACAAAUGGAAUUUUAAUAUUUAUUGUUUACAGGUCUUGUGGGCUAGAGCAGAAGUGGAGAUGGCACUCUCUGAAAGAUGUUGUAAGAGUUACAGCUGGAAGAUAUUUAGGCUAUACUGCAGCCUGCAAGUACCAUAUAUAUUCCUCCCUACAGCUGUGUUUUCAGAAGCCUGUCAGCGCAGCUCUGAUCUUUCCUUUAAACAAAGUAAUAAUAUUUUGCAGCAAUUUAGCAGACACCAACUAAAACUGGA